UCUCUUCCUCUCUCUCUCCUUUCGUCUCUGGCGAGCUCAGCUAUCGCAGGGAACCUGCGACUUCGUUCGAUCGGGAAAUCGCGUCGCGUCUCCGGCCAGAUUUUCCGGCUACUCCAGUGCAAGAUCGGUCGACUCCGGCUUCUUUUCCAUCGAUGGCGUAGUUCCAACCUCUCCCUCCUGUCGUUUCCGGCUAGCGCAGCUAACACAAGAAGCUGCAGUUGAGUUUCAAUCGGAGAGUAGCGCCAUCAGCCCUCUUUCUCGUUUUUCCGGCAAGACCUGUUACCGGCCGGCCAAUCCAGCUCCUCUUUUGUUGUCAACGCCUCACCAGCGUACUUCCGGCGAGCGUUCUCAUAAAGUCCGGUCAAGCUAUCGUCGGCAGCAGUGGGUUUUGCUUUGAAGUUCAUUUUGAGUCACUUUUAACGAAUACAUUCAAUUUUUACAUCAUAUUUCUUGAUUAGGUGAUGAAUGAUUUAUACUUUGAGCUUGGGAAAUGAAGUAAAAAGCCUUGAUAUGGAAACUUUAUAACAGAUAGAGGCUUAGUAAUUAUCAAGCAUAGAGAAUUGAAAUGAAUCUAACAAUAUAAAUCUUAUUUACAUAUGUAUAAAAUAAGUCAUUUAUUUGGCAUUUAGCUAGCAAAGCUAAUCAUGAUUAUGUGUAAGUAAUAAUGGUUAAUGAUAUCAUUUGGAGCAAUGAGAAGUUUAUGAUAAGUUGUCGAGUCGAUGACUAAAUGUUGGUAUUAUGGUUUUUAAUGAGGAUGAAAAUUUGAUUUGAUUGAUUGCCCGAUGAA